rnacentral:SRP_RNA from 1 species
CCGUGCUAGAUGGGGAGGUAGCGGUGCCCUGUACCCGCAAUCCGCUAAAGCGGGGUUGAAUUCCUGUCCCCGGCUUCGCGGCUUUCGGGGACAGCACCCGGCAAGUGGUGACGAAGGCCUGGUCCCGUGCGGCGCAAGCUCAUGAACCCCGUCAGGUCCGGAAGGAAGCAGCGGUAAAUGGGAUUUUGCGGGUGCCAUGGGGGUGCCGGGCUGGAGCCAACUACCGGACAGGCGCCCGGGGGCGGAAGCCAAAGACAGGUGCACGG